rnacentral:rRNA from 1 species
UGUGGUCGCCGACGAGAGCAGCGGUUAUACUUUAMSGKKRRKUARWAAYUUUAAGUUUGUAGUUAAAUGUUUAUAUUAAUGUUAUUAUAGUUAUUAAAAGGUAAAAUUAAAAUAUUAUUUUGUAAUAGAAAAAAUUGUAGUUGAAGCUAAUAAAAUUCAGUUAAAAACUAGGAUUAGAUACCCUAUUAUUCUGAAAAAAAUUAUUAAAACUAAAUUAGUAAAAGAUAAAUACUUAAAAUUUAAAAAAUUUGGCGGCAGUUUAAUCUUUUCAGAGGAACUUGUUUUAGAAUCGAUAAACCACGAAAAAUCUUACUUGUUUUUGUUGUGUUAGCAGUUUGUAUACCAUCAUUAUCAGAUAAUUCUUAAAGGAAACAAUUAUUAAAUUUAAUUGCUUAUAAAAAUUAGAUCAUGGUGCAGCUUAUAAACAAGGUAAAAUGAGUUACAAUAAAUUAUUUUAAUGCGGAUAUAUAAUUUAAUAUUAUUAAGAAGAAGGAUUUGAUUGUAUUUUUAGUUUAGUAAGCUAAAAGGAUAUAAGUUCUAAAUUGUGUACAUAUCGCCCGUCGCUYWYWUUURUAAGUGAGAUAAGUCGCAACAAAAAAAAGUAAAAA